rnacentral:sRNA from 1 species
AAUGAUACACAUCCUUCUCAAUGCACUUAGCCCUCAAGUAGUUCAUUUUUUUAAUUGGGGAAUAAAAAUGUGUUUAUUUUGUGCUGCUGUAGUUAAUCCACAAUAAUCUAUUUAAACUUGCUAAAUUAAGAUUUGUAAUAUUGUCUCUUCAACUCUAGAAUGGGGAGCACCUGAAGACUCUGAGCUUAAUGAGAAAUCAUCAGCGUUAAAAGACAAUUUAUUAAAUGUGAAAAUAUUCAGUCCUAAGCAUCCAGAUAAGGGAACAUUAGAUAAAAAACUUCCAGCUACCAUGUCUAUUCAGAAGUUGAAAACUUUGAUUCAAAGAUUAUACAAA